UGGUGUUCCCGGCAGUGACAGUCUGCAACCUCAAUCCCCUGCCACGCAGCGACGUGGCGUUGGACACCGGCAUGUGGCAAGGCUUCGUGCAUAUUCAGAAUAGCACCGAGACGGACUGUGGCAUCGAUCUGAAAUUCUACUCUCCUCCAGAUGAAGAGGUUCAGACCCUUGACGACCCCUCCGCCACCAACCCUGAAGGUGGUGAAGGUACGGAUGCUGUGGACGCCGAAGACCCACCUGCUGCUCGCAAGAAGAGGUCGAUUUCUGGAGGUAAUCAGACGACACCUCGGGAGAUGAUUCAAUUCAUGGAUUUCGAGAACUUCA